GACGAACGCUGGCGGCGUGCUUAACACAUGCAAGUCGAACGGAAAGGCCCUGCUUUUGUGGGGUGCUCGAGUGGCGAACGGGUGAGUAACACGUGAGUAACCUGCCCUUGACUUUGGGAUAACUUCAGGAAACUGGGGCUAAUACCGGAUAGGAGCUCCUGCUGCAUGGUGGGGGUUGGAAAGUUUCGGCGGUUGGGGAUGGACUCGCGGCUUAUCAGCUUGUUGGUGGGGUAGUGGCUUACCAAGGCUUUGACGGGUAGCCGGCCUGAGAGGGUGACCGGCAACAGUGGGACUGAGAUACGGCCCAGACUCCUACGGGAGGCAGCAGUGGGGAAUAUUGCAUAAUGGGCGGAAGCCUGAUGCAGCAACGCCGCGUGCGGGAUGACGGCCUGCGGGUUGUAAACCGCUUUCGCCUGUGACGAAGCGUGAGUGACGGUAAUGGGUAAAGAAGCACCGGCUAACUACGUG
rnacentral:rRNA from 1 species